GAAGCCAAUGUGGCUGGAGCCGAUGGAGGAAGGAGAAAAUGGUGGGAGAGGCCAAGGAGGCAUGGGAGCCCAGGUAGGUUCUGAAUGCUGUAGAAUAAGUGAAGGGAGCAGCAGCGGCAGGCGGAUAGAGUCAACAGGGCUGGAAGACAAUGUGAUGUGGAGAUUGAGAAAGAGGCGUUGAGACUGAUGUGAGUUUUGGCUAGACAACUGGAUCCAUGGUGACAUCAUUGAUCAAGAAGAGGAAGUCAUGGGAAGGACUGGGUUUUAGAAAUGGUAAAAUAAAGAAUUCUAUAUUGGAAAUAUUAAUUUUUGGAUUUAAUAGUA
rnacentral:lncRNA from 1 species